rnacentral:rRNA from 1 species
GUAGGGAAUCUUCCACAAUGGGCGAAAGCCUGAUGGAGCAACGCCGCGUGUGUGAUGAAGGCUUUCGGGUCGUAAAGCACUGUUGUAUGGGAAGAACAGCUAGAGUAGGGAAUGACUUUAGUUUGACGGUACCAUACCAGAAAGGGACGGCUAAAUACGUGCCAGCAGCCGCGGUAAUACGUAUGUCCCGAGCGUUAUCCGGAUUUAUUGGGCGUAAAGCGAGCGCAGACGGUUAAUUAAGUCUGAUGUGAAAGCCCGGAGCUCAACUCCGGAAAGGCAUUGGAAACUGGUUAACUUGAGUGCAGUAGAGGUAAGUGGAACUCCAUGUGUAGCGGUGGAAUGCGUAGAUAUAUGGAAGAACACCAGCGGCGAAGGCGGCUUACUGGACUGUAACUGACGUUGAGGCUCGAAAGUGUGGGUAGCAAACAGGAUUAGAUACCCUGGUAGUCCACACCGUAAACGAUGAACACUAGGUGUUAGGAGGUUUCCGCCUCUUAGUGCCGAAGCUAACGCAUUAAGUGUUCCGCCUGGGGAGUACGACCGCAAGGUUGAAACUCAAAGGAAUUGACGGGGACCCGCACAAGCGGUGGAGCAUGUGGUUUAAUUCGAAGCAACGCGAAGAACCUUACCAGGUCUUGACAUCCUUUGAAGCUUUUAGAGAUAGAAGUGUUCUCUUCGGAGACAAAGUGACAGGUGGUGCAUGGUCGUCGUCAGCUCGUGUCGUGAGAUGUUGGGUUAAGUCCCGCAACGAGCGCAACCCUUAUUGUUAGUUGCCAGCAUUCAGAUGGGCACUCUAGCGAGACUGCCGGUGACAAACCGGAGGAAGGCGGGGACGACGUCAGAUCAUCAUGCCCCUUAUGACCUGGGCUACACACGUGCUACAAUGGCGUAUACAACGAGUUGCCAACCUGUGAAGGUGAGCUAAUCUCUUAAAGUACGUCUCAGUUCGGACUGCAGUCUGCAACUCGACUGCACGAAGUCGGAAUCGCUAGUAAUCGCGGAUCAGCACGCCGCGGUGAAUACGUUCCCGGGUCUUGUACACACCGCCCGUCACACCAUGGGAGUUUGUAAUGCCCAAAGCCGGUGGCCUAACCGUAAGGAGGGAACCGU